rnacentral:rRNA from 1 species
UAGGGAAUAUUCCGCAAUGGGCGAAAGCCUGACGGAGCAACGCCGCGUGAGUGAAGAAGAUCUUCGGAUUGUAAAGCUCUGUCAACAGGGACGAUAAUGACGGUACCUGUGGAGGAAGCCACGGCAAACGACGUGCCAGCAGCCGCGGUAAUACGUAGGUGGCAAGCGUUGUCCGGAAUAACUGGGCGUAAAGCGCAUGUAGACGGCAUAGUAAGGCAAGUGUGAAAUUUAGGGGCUUAACCUCUAAACUGCGCUUGGGACUGCUGAGCUUGAGUGCAGGAGAGGCAAGUGGAAUUCCGAGUGUAGCAGUGAAAUGCGUAGAUAUUGGGAGGAACACCAGUGGCGAAGGCGACUUGCUGGACUGCAACUGACGUUGAGAUGCGAAAGCUAGGGGAGCAAACG